AAUCUCUUUACAAAGCUACAUAAUGCAGCAGAGUCAGCUAAGAACGAGUUAUAAACAAAGAAGCUAUUCAGCUGUCAAAGCAAUUUUCAGCUAUAUUAAAACAGAAUAGGAUGGGAUGGAUUCUGCCAAGCCUUCUGCUGCAUGCUGUCCCGGGAAGCCGGUGGCAUUGCAUGUGUGUAAAUGGCGUGGCGAGAGGGAGUGAGUGCGUGCAUGGGCAGCCGCCCACGUGAACACAUGUACACACACGUGCACAGGAUAAUCGCCCAUCGCCUUCCUCAGCUCAUGUUAGAAAUUGUAAAAUGCUUACUUAAAUUGCAUUUUCUGUCUGCACUUGGGGAUGUCACCACGUUCUGUCCAUUCUGAUGACGUGUUUUGUUUCCAUAGAAACCAAUGUACUUUGGAGAGGGAAAAGCAGAAGCAGACUGAGAAAAGCAGAAAAAUCAAGCAGAAUAAGAGAAGUGUGUGGUGUGAAUAGAUCAUUUGGGUCAUGGGGCUUUUAACAAAGUGACUUAUGCCUUAAGGUGGCGAGAUGCCUUAUUUAUUUGUGGGAUAUAAGGUCUUAACAUGAUGGACCCCAAGAGGUAGUCCGUGACCAGGCCAGCUCUGUUUCACACACAUCCUUUUCUGCUGUGACCUAGGAGACGACUAGGAGUAGAUGUGAGGAUAGUAGGAAUUUCAGCAGCUAAAGGCCACCUAAAGCACCCCUGUGCAGGCAUAAACUCGACUUGCAAGUCCUUGUCGCUAGAGCUAUGCGGUGCUAAUGAGGGUCCCUCAGCUGGUAUCUGACCAGCUGGAAAAAGGAUGGACCACUAUAGCCUAGAGCAUUAGCUGUUUCACCACCCAGGGCUGAAGGCCAGGAGGAGAAACAGAAUCCUAUAUGUGUGUAUCCUAUAUGUGUAAAUGCUGUUGGUAACAGAGCAAUAUUCCAGUUCUGUCUGUGCAUAUUCUUUGGUACGUGUUUCUCCUGUCUUCCUCUUUUGUACUUGCCAGUCAUAUACUCUGUAAUUUUGCUUUCAGAGUCUGCCUUAGAAGAGACCUAUGCCAUUUUUGCCUGGAGCUGAAUAACUAUUAAGUUGUGCCCCUGCUGGCUGCUUGCUUGAAGGUAGGGAUGUGCCAACAAACCCCGCUUCCCAGGGGCUUUUUGGCAGAGCACGCUCGAUUUUCUGCUGUGUUCUUCAUGAGAAGCUACUCUUGGUCACAUACGGCCCAUGUACGAGGGACCUGAGCCAACAAAAAUUACCAGGACCUACUGCAUUCUUCAAAGCUUAGGGCACCAGAGUAUGAAUCGACAGCAAACACCCUAAUCCCUUACCAACACAUCGGGUGGCAAAACCCACAGCAGUUGCCUGUAGUGUUGAUGUGAUUCAAGCCCAUACUGUUUAAUUUAUCUUUGUGCACCCAAAGUCAUGAUAUCUAACAGUACCGACAGUUAAGAGUCUCAUUUGCUGAUUCAUCAACAAAUUAUAAGAAUAAAAAGAAAACUAUGUGAAGAGAAAGAUGAUUUUGUUGAGCAGCUCUAAUCUUGGCUGUUUUCCUUGGCUUUAAACUUUGAAUUUUACCAGUUAUAUGUUAAAUGCUCUGCUUCACUUCUUUGUAUCCAGACAGAAAGAAAUGGUUUGUAAAAAAUGUGCUAUGUGGGUAAUGUAGAAUUUUUCUCCUCUGCGGAAUCCAUCAGUGAGGAUGUUUACUAUGUAUUUAUGAGGUCCCUUGCAGAUCUUUAGACUAGGCUUUCAGAUGUUCAUUCUCUUGGACUUUUUAUUGCUAACAUUUAUUCUUCUUUUAAUGGUGAGCUCUCAGAAGAAUGCAGAAGGCUCGGUUCAAACUCCAGGCAAAUCUUACAUCACUUUUGGCUUGCAACCGGGCUCCACACAGGACUCAGCAAGAUUUCAUUCAGCCUUUUCUAUAGUGUUGGUUACAAUUCUCGAGGGGGGCAGGGAAAAUUACUUUUGGCUUUAAUGUUCUGUAUUAGUUAGUCUGUGAUUUGCUUGUUCCAGAGGCUGGAUAUGAUCUUUGAUACUAUAUUAUUCUGUAAAGUAAUGCUGAGUGCAAGAGAGAGUGACAGAGCAUCUCUCAUGCUACCCCUGAUUCAUUGCAUGUACUUCUGCGAGGCAAUGAAAUACUUUGGUCAUGUCAAAACUGCUAAUUUCUAGAUAGUAGCUAGCUAAUAUCUAAAUACUAGAUAUUACGUGACAAGUUUGAAGGCCAGAAGGUAAUGUUCAGGGUUGAUGUCUGUACUCAGAGAAAUAAUCUUCUGGAAGCCAAUGUAACUUUACGUGCGAGUGAGGAGAAUUUACAUGACUGUAAACUCAAGAAUGGGCUGUUAUUCAAGUACAAGAAUAAAUGAGAAAGGUUAAAAAAACUUUUUUAAAAAGUCUGUGCAAUCCAAGUGUACUGUUUAUCAUCAUGUUGUACCAAAACAAAAUUUGUGAUGUACUUUGACUUGGGAUUUUCCAGAGUCAUUGAUGCAGUGCUGGUUUUCAUCCUCUCUCGUCUUGCUGUUACCUGACUUCCCAGGCUUUGGAAUUUUUAUCCUAAUUUUCCUCUUUUGCUUUUAAUGAAAUAAUAAAAUUAGUGUUUUGACCUUGGAGUCUUCUCCCACACUAGAGAAUUUAAAAUUGCUAGGUGAGAGUCAGCAGGAGAUUAUGAUACUCUGUCUAAUUUCCUUAGAAAUGUUAUAGCUGAAGUAUUUAUAAUAACAAGGCUUUGUUGCUGGAGCCUCUGAAUGCCAAGACUGAAAGAGGUAACUGAACCAGCAAGUUCUGGAAAUAUUUCCUAGAUAGAAACUCAGGAGGAAGAAGAGGAGCAGGGGAACACCAGCAAUGUAAUCAUAUAACUGAGCAUGUACUUUUCAGCAAAAGAAUUUCCUUGUCAAGUUUAGUGUUUUUUCUUUUGACAAAUUGCUUGUGUAGAAACUGAAGUUUUUCAGUCUCUGUGCUGUUCCAAAUUUUAAGCUUUUGGUUUUCUUGAUGUGGUUAUUUUUUUGACAUCGCUUAGUGGUGAUGAGUCCAUGUUCAUGUGGUGUGAUUGGUCAGCUCAGUCAUGCUUAAUGACAAGCCUUAUAAACUACAUUUGACUCAGGAAAGUAUCAUUUGGUUGUUGGAAGGAGAGUCUGACGCAUUAGUCAGUCAGUGAAAUUUACUUCUAAUCAAAAAGUUUUGCCGUGGUAGGAGUCAACAAGACUCAAACGAUGCACGAUACUCCUGCUCGUUUGCUUUCCAGGCUGAAUCUUGCACAUAAUGUGUCUUGAGAAUGACAGCCGUGAGCAAAUUUUUAGUCACGUGGCUAUUCUCAAAAGUAACUAAAAUUGGAUGCAAGGGAAGAUCCAUCUGAUAAUGAUCCAACAUAUUCACACAUAUUUUCUCACUAUUUCUUUACCACUUGUCAGUUGUCCCUUCUUCUAUUCCCUUUUAUUUCUUCUUAGGUUUCUGUUUUGAUGAUGCCUGGUUUGUUCCCAGAACUAAUCUUUGAAUUUAUAGUGGAUGAUUUUGAAUAUUGAUGAAUCUACAUAUAUAAAUGUAGAUAUAUAAAAUGGUUGCUUUUUUAGGGAGGUUGAUUUCUUUUGCUAAGCAAGAGAGCAGACCUGGAUUACAGAAGUUGCAGGCAUGUUUUUGAUCAGUCAAUCUGUGCAUUUGCACCAAACAACCUUGUAAUUCAUGCUGUGAUGCACCACUUGAGGCUUGGCCUGAGUUGGAUGAUGGUUGCCUUACAUUGCAAUGGUGAGAUGUUUCCCUUCUCCUAAGAGAAUUUGGGGUAUGUUCAUUGAUUGGUUUUGUUAAAUAGUUCUGUUUUUCCAUAAGAUCUUUAUCACUGGGUAGCUCCUUCUUUAAAAACCUGGUGCCAUCUCCCAAAACAUUACCUCUGUAGUAUCUGGCAGUUAGAUUAAAAGCAGGUUACAGUACAGCUUGUUUAGUAUGAACAUUUGUAAGUCAGCUGUUGAGAGAAGUUUCCCUGAACAUACAAAACCUGUGACGUACACGUUGUGUUUCAUCAGGAGGUGUUUUUGUUAAAGAAUUGCCAGAGACAACAUAAAAAUUAAUCUUGGUUAUAAUGUAAUCCUGAUACAAAAUGCACCGUUUCUUCUUGGCAAAUGAAGUGUUUGGCACGAGCAAGUAUUUACAUUUACAUUAUUUUUAAACUUCUGUGUGUGCUGGAAGGUAGAGUGAAAUAUUUCCUAGAUGGCCAGACUAUUCCUAAGAAAAGAUACAUCACAGAGGAGAAAUUCAGAAACAUUCUGUUUCAAAGGAUAUUACAUGAUCAAUAAAAUUACACUAGGGUUUUAGUGGAUGUCCGGAGCACAUCUUUCAUUGUCUUUACAUAGGCUACACCUCAAUUUUGUUUAUGUUUUAUUUCAGAGCUUUCCAAUUUUCUAUUGUAUCAGCAGUUGCAUGAGCUACCUUUCCUUGUGCUCCUGCUUUGACAUAUUCCUAUACAUCCAUGUUCUAAAGAGAUUUUUUUUUCUCUGUGCACAAGAAAAAGUGAUAGAAGUUACUGUUGGUUAACUUAUUACACUCUGAUGCUCUCUAUCUUAGCUCAAAUCACUAAGUAAAUAUAAAUAGUAUUUAUAUGUCAUACCUCUUCAUAACUGAAUAUGCAUAUUACUUCCACUUUUCCUGUGUUCUUGGCACUUGAGUGAGGAGAAGUCAGAAAACACCAAGAGAAUGUUGGCGUAUGUGAAAAAACUUGCAUGAACCUUGAUUCCAGGAAGAACAUACAUACAUGCUGAUAAACAGCUCCUUAUCUAAGAAAUACUUAAGAGAGUGUUUCUUAAAUGAGAGUGCUUCUCUGAAAAUGAGCAUUUGGUUGCUGGGUUGUUGGUUUUGUUUUUUUUUUAAUAUUUCAACACCCUGCUGAUAGUGUUGUGAAAUCCUUGCUGAGCCUUAGCCAAUUAACUGAAUAAACUUUUACUUGCUUAAUGAUUUUAUAACUCUUCUAUGUGAGAUAAACUUUCCAUUUGUUCAUUUAAUUUCUCUCCUGCGUUUUGUGUACAAAUACUAGCUAAUCUCACAGAGACUCCAAGUCUUUGAGACUUAAGUUCUUGCAAAGUUACCAAAGACAGCAAUCAGAACACGUUUGGACACUUAACAAAGUUCUCAUAAUGUUUUUCACUGAUAUUUUUAGUAUUAUUAAAGAUAAUUACUGUUGUA